rnacentral:rRNA from 1 species
AUGAACGCUGGCGGCGUGCCUAAUACAUGCAAGUCGAGCGAACAGACGAGGAGCUUGCUCCUCUGACGUUAGCGGCGGACGGGUGAGUAACACGUGGAUAACCUACCUAUAAGACUGGGAUAACUUCGGGAAACCGGAGCUAAUACCGGAUAAUAUAUUGAACCGCAUGGUUCAAUAGUGAAAGACGGUUUUGCUGUCACUUAUAGAUGGAUCCGCGCCGCAUUAGCUAGUUGGUAAGGUAACGGCUUACCAAGGCAACGAUGCGUAGCCGACCUGAGAGGGUGAUCGGCCACACUGGAACUGAGACACGGUCCAGACUCCUACGGGAGGCAGCAGUAGGGAAUCUUCCGCAAUGGGCGAAAGCCUGACGGAGCAACGCCGCGUGAGUGAUGAAGGUCUUCGGAUCGUAAAACUCUGUUAUUAGGGAAGAACAAAUGUGUAAGUAAUUAUGCACGUCUUGACGGUACCUAAUCAGAAAGCCACGGCUAACUACGUG